rnacentral:rRNA from 1 species
UACGGAGGGGGUUAGCGUUGUUCGGAAUAACUGGGCGUAAAGCGCGCGUAGGCGGACCAGAAAGUUGGGGGUGAAAUCCCGGGGCUCAACCCCGGAACGGCCUCCAAAACUCCUGGUCUUGAGUUCGAGAGAGGUGAGUGGAAUUCCGAGUGUAGAGGUGAAAUUCGUAGAUAUUCGGAGGAACACCAGUGGCGAAGGCGGCUCACUGGCUCGAUACUGACGCUGAGGUGCGAAAGUGUGGGGAGCAAACAGG